AGCCGGCUGAGGAGUCCCACAAUAGGACGAAACGGCCGUCCAGUGC
rfam:Schistosoma mansoni strain Puerto Rico chromosome W, complete genome